CGCCCCUUCGUCUCUCCCGAAUCGACAGAAACUGUGGUUCUGCCCACUCGUCUCCAUGCGCUACUGCCUCCCCUCCAUGGCGAUUAGUUCUUAGUCUCCCAAUUUCCCAUCUCUGUUGAUACAUCUAGGCAUCCACUGCCGCCGCUCGGCCCGCCGCACCGUCUACCAACCGCUGCCACCCGCCUGCCCGCUGUGCCGGCUGCUCGCUGCCGCAUCCAAUCCAAUCUGGACGCCACCGCUGGUGCCUGCUGCCUGCUGCCACCCCAUCUCUUCUCGCGCUGCUUGCUGCUGCCCCUGCUCUUCUCGACCGAUACAACCGAAGGAGGAGGCGCCGAAGGAGCAAGCAAGGUAACAGUGAUGCAACCCUUUUCCGAAAGAAAGAGAGGCGAAGAAAGUGUGAAUAAGAUAUAUAUCGAUUUUCGGCGGCUUCGCUCAAGGCCGACGAUUGGGCGCGUGUGGUGGCAGUUCGAGGAGUGGCGACAUCUUCUGGUGGAUUGUUGUGUGUGCUCUGGUCUGAAAGUUUGUGCUUGGAAGGAGUGGCAACAUCUUCAGGUGGAAGGAGUGGCAGUUCAAGGACAUCUUCAGCAGUGGUCUGAAUUGAUUCAGGAAUUCUGCACGCCAUCCAAACUGAUUUACUAAAUAUUGGAUGUUCAGCACUCUCCUGAGGUGAAUAAUGUAUUGAAAGAGAUGUCAUCAUCAGAGGAUGAGCAAGUUGAACACGGCACUGUAGAACAUGAAUUGUUUUCCAUGCCAUCUGAUGCCAUGGAGCAUGUAACAAAAUUGUUUUCCAUGCCAUCUGAUGCCAUGGAGCAUGGAACAAAUAGCAGCAGCAGCACAUAGCAGCAGAUCAAUCUACAGGCAACUGUACCUUCUUCAGAGUGCAAAUAGCAGCAGCAGCAACACGGCGCAGUCACUUGGACCAGCAGCAGCAGCAACACGGCAUGUUCACUUGGAUCAGCAGCAGCAACACAGGUAGAGGAGCAGCAGCAUCAACACGGGCAGAGGAGCAGCAGCAGCACGGGCUAGCUCCACCGGCGGCAGGGGAGAAGCAGAGGAGAAACAGAGCAGCAGCAGGCACGUGGGCAGAGGAGAAGGAGCAGCACGGCAGCCGGUGGGAGCUCGACGAGGACUUGCGGGAGAUAGAGGAGGACGCGCGCAAGCUCUUGUCCACCGGAUUGUGGAGGCCGGUUCCGGCGAUGCCCGUAGGAGAUCACGGCGGGAGGGGUCGCGGCGGCACACGGGAGGCAGCUCAAGGUGGACUCGCGGCAGCUAGAGGAGGACUCGCGGUAGCUCGAGGAAGAUGAGAGGGAGCUCCUGCUCUGCCGGAUCGUGGUGGGAAAUUCCGGCGACGUCCGCAGGUAAUCCGGCGAGAGGGGAUCGCUGCGGCACAGGUUCGGGCGGCGGUGGCGGAGCAGGUACUUGGCGACGGCGGCGGCGGCGAAGGUACGUGGUGACGGAGGCGGAGCACUUCCUGAUGGGCGCCAAAUCACGCAGCUUGGCGGCGCCGGCCCCUAGCGACGCACGGGCGACGACGGAGGAAGAAGACGGGGGUGGAGGGACUUGUUUGCGACGGUUUGGAAACUACGAGGUUUUUUUUUGCAAAAUCAUCAAUGAACUACGGGCACGACAUGUUUUUCGGGACGGAGGGAGUAGUUGCCAUAGUUUUCCUUUUAUUUGUUCAUAAAUAGUUUGGAUUGCUUACCUGUUGUCAUAUUUUCCUUUAUAAAGGGAAUUUAUUGAAAUCGAGAA